UUCAGAGCACACACGGGUUCGUGCAGAUAAAGGCACAACGAGGAAGGUUUCUGCCAGACAAAAACAUCGGAUUAAGAGAGCAGCUGCUAAAAUGCCAUUACAGAGUAGCAAACAGAUAUUUGAAGCUGCUGGUGCCUCUGGAGUCCCACGAACAUCAAGGUGUAGGAUCCUCCAGAGUCUUGCAGUUAUGCGUAAACCCUCUAUUCGGCCACCCCUAAACAACGCUCACAAGCAGAAACGGCUGCAGUGGGCCCAGGAAUACAUGAAGACUAAUUUUCAAACAGUCUUGUUCACUGAUGAGUGCCGUGCAACCUUGGAUGGGUCCCUGAAGGUGUGAAAAUGACAUCUGUAAAGUAUGUGGAGUUUCUGACUGACCACUUUCUUCCAUGGUACAAAAAGAAGAACCGUGCUUUCCGUAGCAAAAUCAUCUUCAUGCAUGACAAUGCACCAUCUCAUGCUGCAAGGAAUACCUCUGCAUCAUUGGCUGCUAUGGGCAUAAAAGGAGAGAAACUCAUGGUGUGGCCCCCAUCCUCCCCUGACCUCAACCCUAUUGAGAACCUUUGGAGCAUCCUCAAGCAAAAGAUCUAUGAGGGUGGGAGGCAGUUCACAUCCAAACAGCAGCUCUGGGAGGCUAUUCUGACAUCCUGCAAAGAAAUUCAAGCAGAAACUCUCCAAAAACUCACAAGGUCAAUGGAUGCAAGAAUUGUGAAGCUGCUAUCAAAUAAAGGGUCCUAUGUUAAAAUGUAA